rnacentral:pre_miRNA from 1 species
AAUAAGUUCAUUUUUCAUUUUUAUAUACAAUAUUUUGACUCUUCGUGUUAUUUGAAUUUUUUUGUGAUUACUAUUUUUAUUUUAUUGUUACUAGAUGAUAAAAUAUGAAUAAUAAUUUAUGCGUGGCUAAUUUUUUAAAAUUUUUGUACAAAUUCUUUAAAUAAGACGAAUAAUUAAACUUGGACAAAGAAAUCGAAAAAUAAGAUUAUU